GAUGAAGCAAAUGCCAAACCAAUUAUGUCCAAGAGGAAUAGAAAGUGUACUUGAUUUUAAUGAAAUAGCUAUUAUCACUUAUAAAAAUCAUGGCCUGGAAACAUUGCAAGUCCAAAGAAAUCCAACUUUCUGAUGAGACUCAUUUCAGAAAUUGGAUUGUAAAACACCAUUUAGUUUUCAGAAAGAAAUUAUCUUCCAAGCUCAAAAUUGGCACUUGAAGAGACAAUAUGCAAUCUACAAUACCACAUUGCAUGUUGCACGUGCAUCUCAGUUCAGUGUUUAUGAAUCAGAACAGCAACUUCCCAAUUUGAGUAAAAGAACUAACACUUGACCAAUUAUUUGCUUGU
rnacentral:misc_RNA from 1 species